rnacentral:lncRNA from 1 species
GUUCAGUGGCAUCAGGGCACCCCGAAUACCAAAUCUGAGUGCUAAUGCAGCGAGAAGAAGCACAUUUAGACCGGCGUGGUAAAUGGCCCAUGCUCUAGCCAGGCGGUCACAUCUUCAGCUCCUUGUUGACUGACCCGGGAACAUUCCAGUGUAUUGGUACAGCAAUUUGGAAGCGGCACAUAGAGCUAGGAGCACGACCUCUCAAAUGACCAGGCCCACUUUUCAUUCAUGCAUCUGGAGAGGUCAAUUCCACAGCCGUUCAUCACACAUCCGCCAUGAGCCGGGCACCGGCGUACUGCCAGAAGGUCAUGGCCCAGCGAGGCCAGGCCUCAGUCUGCCGACCAGAAUCAGGUGAGACACAGUCAUUUCUGUUUCUAGAUUAGCUGUUACAUGCAUGGCGUACAGGGGUGGGCACUGCAGAAAAUCACCCCAGAUGAGUACAGAAAGCAGAUAAAACUACACCUGAUCUUUUCCGUGGACAACUAAAGCGUAGUGGAGAGGAGGGUCUUUGCGGGCUGUGUGUAUGAUGGUGACAAUUCCAUGCUUUCUAACUGGGAGGGUGCAGGGCACUGAGGUGUUUGGAAGAGGAGGUAGGAAGGGGUUCUGAGUGUGCAUAGCAGGCAUACAGUUUCUGCUUAGAUUGUUGCUUCUUGGGUUAGCUCUGGGGGCACCUGACGGAAAUCACUGGGGGAGGGGUGGUUUCCUUCCUCCCAAGCCACCUUUGGGAGGCCCAGU